GGCAACAAUGUUUGCUGCUGGGUUUGGAAGAGGCGGUACAAGCAUUCCAUUUUGGGAAAAUGUUUAUGGCUUUAAUAUGUCUUGUAUCGGCGAGGAAAUCGUUAAAGAUGCUUCCAGAAUUCCAAUAGUUGAUGUUGUUGACAGUCGUGAUAUAAUAACCAAUUCAAAAGUUCUCCAGAACUUUGAUCUGGUGACUAUGAAGCUGGAGGAGAUGGAUUUUACAGGAAUGGUUGAACUGGAGCUGAAGGGAGAAACUU
rnacentral:misc_RNA from 1 species